CCCUCCUCUUCACGCCUCUCCUCCAGUGCCGCGCGGCGUACAGAUCCCCUCCCCUCCCUGUCUCUCCUCCCGUGCCACACGGGGGUGCGGAUGCGGCGGCGCGCGGCGCUGCGCAGCUAGCGCGGCGGCGGCGGGGAGCAGCGGCCGUCCGGGCGCGGCGCUGCACGGAGUGGUGGCGCUGCACGCGGUUCAAACAUGAGAAGAUAACGCUUGUUCCCCUCCCUUCUCUUAGAGUUUUUUGUUUGAUGCUGGGUGCUAGCUGCGAAUGCAUUUGUGUAAUUGAGGGGUGGGCGUUGGGUAUUUUGCUCGAAAUGCCAUGCUGGAUGAUAAUUGAGGAGCUGCGUGGUGCUGAAUUGCCUAACUUUCAGGAUUCAGAGAAUCCCCCCCCCCCCUGCAGGACAAAGUUCUUCCGCAUGGCAACCAAGUUCACAUUUGCUGUUAGCAAAACAAAUGGUUUCAAUCGACGUAUGAUCUAUGUGCUAAUCGUUUUGGGAGAAAUGGGCUUUGCUAUUUACUUAUGUGAUAUUACUUACUAACAUAGGAAGAACUAAAGUUACAUAUUGUUUUCCUGAUAAAUGGACAGCAGAAAAGGCAUGUUAGUUUCUUUGCAAAUUGAACAAUAGUGUCGUCUAUAGUUGCUUCAGGCUUACCAGUAUUGUUUCUCCUGUAGGAAGAACUGACAGAUUAUUUGGUGCUGCUGAUUAGAGCUUGGAGCUGUUGCUGCCUUCUCUUGUGUGCAAAUACAGCACAUUGCAAGGGUGGAAAUUUUGGAUCUAGAGUCCAAACCAUAGCUAAGGGAAAAAUGAAAAGUCAAGUGCCUAUUUAUUACUCAGUAGCAGUUUGUUGCAGUGGAAUGAUUAGAGAUUGUGAUCUACGUGAUCAAUUUAAGUAGAAUAUUUUAAAAACAUCUUUACAUCUUCGAUCCUGUGAUUCUUUGUAUCAAUAGUUUUUGCUGUCAUGCAUUUCAGUCGCUCGUAGCACUAUAGGGCUCAUGUUCUCAUAUGAUUGAAUUCUGCUACUAUAAUUAUAUAUUAUAUAUGUUGUACAAA